rnacentral:tRNA from 1 species
GGUCCCGUAGCUCAGCUGGAUAGAGCGCUGCCCUCCGAAGGCAGAGGUCACAGGUUCGACUCCUGUCGGGACCGCCA